CAGUCGCCACGGUAAAAACGUAGGUGGCAAGCGUUGUCCGGAAUUAUUGGGCGUAAAGGGCUCGCAGGCGGUUUCUUAAGUCUGAUGUGAAAGCCCCCGGCUCAACCGGGGAGGGUCAUUGGAAACUGGGAAACUUGAGUGCAGAAGAGGAGAGUGGAAUUCCACGUGUAGCGGUGAAAUGCGUAGAGAUGUGAGGAACACCAGUGGCGAAGGCGACUCUCUAGUCUGUAACUGACGCUGAGGAGCGAAAGCGUGGGGAGCGAACAGGAUUAGAUACCCGCGUAGUCCCUGUCUCUUAUAC
rnacentral:rRNA from 1 species